ensembl:lncRNA
GGAAUGGCUCUAGAUGUGGUCAUCGUAUACUACCCUGAAAGAACCGCCAGAGUUCCAGGACGGCCACCUUUCACUUAAGCAAACUUGUCCACAGACUGUGUGGGUCCCAUCAGCUGAGAGUAGCCUUCACAUUGCAGUGAUGUGCAUAUUUCUGCUUUUCAGCCACGAUGGACUUUAGGAUCUUCCCUGAGGACCCUACACGAACCACAGGUGACCUGGAUGCAGAAGUCCUACCUGUAGCUGCCAUCCAGGGCAUAAGUCCCUCAGUGAGUGAAUUCCAGAUGGUUCUGUCUAAAGCAGCAUCGAGCAGGCCUUCAGAUGACGAUGUGGAACUCUCACUCUCUCUGGCACCAUGAAUACCUG